GAUGAACGCUGGCGGCGUGCCUAAUACAUGCAAGUCGAGCGAACAGACGAGGAGCUUGCUCCUCUGACGUUAGCGGCGGACGGGUGAGUAACACGUGGAUAACCUACCUAUAAGACUGGGAUAACUUCGGGAAACUGGAGCUAAUACCGGAUAAUAUAUUGAACCGCAUGGUUCAAUAGUGAAAGACGGUUUUGCUGUCACUUAUAGAUGGAUCCGCGCCGCAUUAGCUAGUUGGUAAGGUAACGGCUUAACAAGGCAACGAUGCGUAGCCGACCUGAGAGGGUGAUCGGCCACACUGGAACUGAGACACGGUCCAGACUCCUACGGGAGGCAGCAGUAGGGAAUCUUCCGCAAUGGGCGAAAGCCUGACGGAGCAACGCCGCGUGAGUGAUGAAGGUCUUCGGAUCGUAAAACUCUGUUAUUAGGGAAGAACAAAUGUGUAAGUAACUAUGCACGUCUUGACGGUACCUAAUCAGAAAGCCACGGCUAACUACGUG
rnacentral:rRNA from 1 species